UUAGUACCUCUAGACAACUGACCCUGGGAGCCUAUAAGCAUGAGACUGAGUGUGAGGAGCACACACACACACACACCUGUACAUUUAGUUCCUCUAGACAACUGACCCUGGGGGCCUAUAAGCACGAGACGGAGUUUGCGGAGCUGGAGCUGCGGACGCGGGAGAAGCUGGAAGCAGCGAAGAAGAAGACCAGUCAGGAGAUCACAGACCUGAAGGAUAGACUGAAGGCCAGCAGAGAGACCAUCAACUUCCUGAAGGGAGAGAUACGCAAGCUGGAGGAGGAGGACCAGAUCAAAGACCACUGAUACACACACACUGGGUGAAUCUCAAUUGUAUUUUCUUGAUUCCUCAUACCUUCUCUCCUUACAUCCUUCUCAAAACUCAUUGGAACACAAGACAUGAGGUUCCUUGUCUUGGAUCUUCUCUUCCUAUGUGUUUUGAGAAGGAGAUGAGAGAGGACGCAAUGAAUCAUGGAUAUACAAUUGAGACACACCCUAAAUUCCAAAUCAACCUAUUGGCCAUCUUCCCGAGGCACCCCUGUAGAUCUGAAAGGUUUGGAUAGGUGGAUACAAUGUGGUGCUUGUGACUCACCUUGUCUUCUGAUUUCUGAUAGGCUGGAUGGAGUUUCCGCCUUUUUCUUCCACCUAUCCAGCCCCUUCAGAGCAAAGGGAGGUGCCAGAGAGGAGGGGCUAGGGAUGGAUUUGGAAAUGGCCCGAGUCUGGAAUCCACACAGAAUAUCACUCCAUUUUACGAUUGUUUAAUUCCAUAAUAUAAUAUCUGUCAUUUCUCAGAUGCUUUCAUCCACGGUGACUUAGUCAUGCGUGCGUAUGACUCCACAGUGACUUAGUCAUGCGUGCGUAUGACUCCACAGUGACUUAGUCAUGCGUGCGUAUGACUCCACAGUGACUUAGUCAUGCGUGCGUAUGACUCCACAGUGACUUAGUCAUGCGUGCGUAUAACUCCACAGUGACUUAGUCAUGUGUGCGUAUGACUCCACGGUGACUUAGUCAUGCGUGCGUAUGACUCUACGGUGACUUAGUCAUGCGUGCGUAUGACUCCACGGUGACUUAGUCAUGCGUGCGUAUGACUCCACGGUGACUUAGUCAUGCGUGCGUAUGACUCCACGGUGACUUAGUCAUGCGUGCGUAUGACUCCACAGUGACUUAGUCAUGCGUGCGUAUGACUCCACAGUGACUUAGUCAUGCGUGCGUAUGACUCCACAGUGACUUAGUCAUGCGUGCGUAUGACUCCACAGUGACUUAGUCAUGCGUGCGUAUAUUCGUCGUACGGGUGGGUCCCUGGAAUGGACUCCAGUAUCCUGGCCGUACUGUCGCCAUGCUCCUCCUGCCACAGGACCUCACAUCAUUAUGGAUGAUUGCACUGAAGGUAGAGACACGUAGAGGCAUUCAGUUUGAAUUCCAGACUUAACACUGCCUGGCAGAAUGGUUUUAUAUGAUCAUGUACAUAAUAAACAAGACAACUGAAGAUAAUCCAUGUUUGUUUCACCCCCACUCUCAAUGCCACUCAGAUUUACCACAGAUGGCUCUCAGUGCAACAUGUCACAUUUCUGUAGACUGGUCUGAAUGUGAAUAGGUUUUGAGCUUCUGUUUUUAAUUUGUCUUUUCUUUUUUUCUGUAAAACUCAAACCAGUUUUUCUUUGAUUUCUCCUAUGUUCAAAAUGUUAGAACUGCUGGAUCAAACAUGUCUUAGAUGCUAUUCAGGGUUGUUAUUUUGUCAAGAAUUGAGCUCUUAAACACAUCUGGAUAGCCUGGCCCUUUUGAUAUUUUAUCUUUAUUUAACCAGGCAAGUUGGUUAAGAACAAAUUCUGAUUCUCAAUGACGGCCUGGGAACAGUGGGUUAGUUAACUGAACAGAACGACAGAUUUGUACUUUGUCAUCUCGGGGAUUUGAACUUGCAACCUUCUGGUUACUAGUCCAACGCUCUAACCACUAGGCUACCCAGCUGCCCCUUAUGACCUCACUUCUUGAUCACCAUUUAGAUAAAAGAUCGAGAACGACAGCAGGCAUUUUCAUUUCUGUUGGAGAGCGCGAAACUAUUGCUUUCCUUGUAAGGAGACCGGAGCGCUGUAAUGUUUAAUGAAUAUACAGCCUCUGCAUUACCCUUCCACCACCACUAGAGAUCGGUGAUGAGCAAAUAUUUAUUGGAAGUGGGAGGUGGCAACAAUUGUUUGUAUUGGAAGAGGGAGGUGUCAACAAUUGUUUGUAUUGGAAGAGGGAGGUGGCAACAAUUGUUUGUAUUGGAAGAGGGAGGUGGCAACAAUUGUUUGUAUUGGAAGAGGGAGGAGGCAACAAUUAGAAACAACGUGUGAGUGAAGAAGGGCAGGGGCUUUUUGCAUCAACAACAUGUGCAUAGCAGCAUUAAUAGAGUAUUGUAUUAUUACAUAUUGAACAGCA